GGAUCUUAGUCUGGAUAUAGUAACUAGCACAAAUGCCUUCGGAUCUUAGUCUGGAUAUCAUCCGAAUAAUCAUGCACAUAUAUCAAUAUAUCAUAACACAUCUGUAUUUCAUUUUCAUUACUAGAACUCAAGCACAAGACACUUAUAAACCAUUCCCAUUUUCGGCUCAAUAGCCACAUACAAAGAGCAUGAUUUCGAUUUGCUUUAUAACAUGAUCUCUAUACACAUUUGGCUACC
rnacentral:lncRNA from 1 species